ensembl:lncRNA
CCGGGAUCGGCCUUGUGGCCAGCUCGCUGUGUGCUUGCCGGACUAAACCCGUGCAUCCACACAUCCAUCCAUCCAUCCAUCCUUUCUUGCAUCCAACUUUUACUGAACGAUUCCUAUCCUCCAGACGUUCCUGGCAAGGAGUAGGCCCUCAGAUAAAUGUGUUGAAUGAAUGAAGCGCGAGCCCACCAUUCUAUGGGUCAGAAAGGACGCAGAGAGGCUGGAGGAGAGUUGUGGACUCGGUGCGGCGGAGACGAUCCCUGGCUGGGCCUCAUCCCAGGUCUGGUGGACCCUUGUUAGAACAGCUUAGAGAAGGCGGGCUCGUGGGGCUAAACCUGCGGUUUGCAGAGGCCGAGGAAGCCGGGGUCCAAUAGGAGGCGACGCCUGCCGCCCGGAGAGCCUUUCCCCACGCCUGCGCCCCCGACAGUUCUCUUCCUCUGGACUCAGAGAAAGGGAAUUUCUUGCCCAGAAAUCCCAGUGUUGGUCCCUGAGGGUCUAACCUCCGUGGGUCUCCGCUGGCCUUGCUGCGGGUCGCCUCCCAGAACUUUGGGGUACAAUGUUGACCACCUUGGCCUGGCCUCCAAGGAAAGACUGCGUGGGUAGAACACCCCCAGUGACUGUCCAGCCCCUUCCUUGGACAAAGCCCCCUUCUCCACACCCAGGGAAUCACUGACACAGGACCCAUGUCUGUGAAGCCCACGGUCCUGAAGAUCUGAAGAUAUCACAAGGUGUCAGGCGGUGGAAAAAGGCAGGUGCAAGUUCAACAUCUGCUCUCAGGAUUCCUCAAGGCCACAGUGCCCCUUGGGGACCCGGGUUUGAUCCCUGGUCUGGGAAGAUUCCACAUGCUGCAGAGCAACCAAGCCCCAGUGUGUCAACUACUGAAGCCCACAUGCCCUGGAGCCCAUCCUCUGCAACAAGAGAAGCCACCGCAAUGAGAAGCCCACAUCCCGAAAUUAGAGAGUAGCCCCCACUUGCCACAACUAGAGAAAGCCCAUGCAACAACAAAGACCCAGCAUAGCCAUAAAUAAAUAAUUUAAAAA